AUGCAUUGCAAAAGGGUGCUUUCAUGCCUCUUCAAGGGUGCGUUCCAGGGGACCAUCCGGGUGCACUCCGAGCCGUUCCACGACGUCAGAUGAGUGUUGGGCUUCACUCGGGUGAACCCUUCAGUGAUCAAUCGGGUGAUGAGUGGGGGUCACUAGACGGGUGACUAUUUCAUCUACUGAAACUAGAAUGCUUCGCGGAUAGGUUGUUGAAUCAAAAUAUUUCGCCACUGGAAUAUAAUAAAGAGCUGAGAAAAAUGGGUAAUAAUUUAGGUGCACAUUGCAAAAGUAUUCGAAGCCGCAUGUAUCCGGAAUCAGUUAAAAAACUAAAGACGCAAACCAACGCCGAAGAUUCAAGGGAGGAAAUUGACAAAAGUGAAG